UACGUAGGGUGCGAGCGUUAAUCGGAAUUACUGGGCGUAAAGGGUGCGCAGGCGGUCCCGCAAGUCAGGCGUGAAAUCCCCGGGCUUAACCUGGGAAUGGCACUUGAAACUACGGGACUGGAGUAUGGCAGAGGGAGGUGGAAUUCCACGUGUAGCGGUGAAAUGCGUAGAGAUCGGGAAGAACAUCGGUGGCGAAGGCGCUCUACUGGACCACAACUGACACUCAGGGACGAAAGCUAGGGGAGCGAAUGGG
rnacentral:rRNA from 1 species